AACGAACGCUGGCGGCGGGCUUAACACAUGCAAGUCGAGCGCCCCGCAAGGGGAGCGGCAGACGGGUGAGUAACGCGUGGGAAUCUACCCAUCUCUACGGAAUAACGCAUGGAAACGUGUGCUAAUACCGUAUACGUCCUUCGGGAGAAAGAUUUAUCGGAGAUGGAUGAGCCCGCGUUGGAUUAGCUAGUUGGUGGGGUAAAGGCCUACCAAGGCGACGAUCCAUAGCUGGUCUGAGAGGAUGAUCAGCCACACUGGGACUGAGACACGGCCCAGACUCCUACGGGAGGCAGCAGUGGGGAAUAUUGGACAAUGGGCGCAAGCCUGAUCCAGCCAUGCCGCGUGAGUGAUGAAGGCCCUAGGGUUGUAAAGCUCUUUCACUGGUGAAGAUAAUGACGGUAACCGGAGAAGAAGCCCCGGCUAACUUCGUGCCAGCCGCCACGGUAAUAC
rnacentral:rRNA from 1 species